ACUAGGACGUUCAUUUUUCCAGUGAGCGGAGAAAGCAAAAGCUAAGCACCACUUUGCGGGAGUGCUGGACCUGGAAAAAAGCGCAUCGUCUCGGGGAUGUGGGAUUCAAAAGAUGAAACGGAUGUGGAGAAGAAAAAGAAGUGUGGUCUUUACAAAUUGGAUUCCGCGCGGACUACGGCGACGACGAAGACGACGAAGACGACGACUUGGUCAGUAUAGCAGUGAGCGGCGAGCGCUCUCCCCGAAGAAGGCAAUCGCUGGAACUUACGCCCAGCUUCCGAACAAUUUCACGUCCCAGAAAAUGCGAAAUCGAUGGUCCGUUCGGUGCUCGGAGCAUCGCUGAAUGUUCGGACUUGAGUUCGUCUUGCGUGUGAUGGGCUUCUAGCCCGCGUGACCUCAUGAAGUGAGGAGAAAUAACUCGGUUGAAAAAUUGAAGAAGAAUGUGGCUAUGCUUCAUCGUAAUCGAAGACACCGCAACUCCAGAGAGACAGUGAAGGAUAAGACAAUAAUAUGAAGUGGAGGCAACGUACAUGAUGAU